UACGAGGGGGGCGAGCGUUGUUCGGAAUUAUUGGGCGUAAAGGGUGCGUAGGCGGUUUGGUAAGUCUUAUGUGAAAUCUGCAGGCUCAACUUGUAGUCUGCAUGAGAAACUGCCGGGCUUGAGUAUGGGAGAGGUGAGUGGAAUUCCUGGUGUAGCGGUGAAAUGCGUAGAUAUCAGGAGGAACACCUGUGGCGAAAGCGGCUCACUGGACCAUAACUGACGCUGAUGCACGAAAGCUAGGGGGAGCAAACAGG
rnacentral:rRNA from 1 species